GAGUUUAAUCAUGGCUCAGGAUGAACGCUAGCUGGAGGCUUAAUACAUGCAAGUCGAGCGGGAUUGAGGUAGUAAUAUCUCAUGAGAGCGGCGAACGGGUGAGUAACGCGUACACGACCUACCUUUGACUGGGGGAUAGCCCUGGGAAACUGGGAUUAAUACCGCAUAUAAUUUCGAAUAGUAAAGGAUUUGGAAUGAAAGUUCAGGCGGUCAGAGAUGGGUGUGCGUCUGAUUAGCUAGUUGGUAAGGUAACGGCUUACCAAGGCGAUGAUCAGUAGGGGGCGUGAGAGCGUGGU
rnacentral:rRNA from 1 species